UGCUUAUAAAGUAAAAAAAAAAUGUCUCUACUAGCAGCAUAACAAUUAUUAAAUUAAGUCAGAAAAAAAAAAUCUGAUGUGAAUUUUUAUUUUUUAUUUCAGAUGAAAACACAGUGUGUCUGAAUCAUUGCCUUCAGCUGCACACAGCAACAGCAAGCACCAAAACCUUACUCCAGAAUCUGCACAGCCUACAGCCUCUGAGAGCCUCCCACAUGAGGACUGUGUAGAGGAGAGAAAAAAAACCACAGAGAAAAAGGGUCUCCAUUCAGUUGUCAAAAAGCCUCACUUCUGAAUCACUGAUCACCAGUUUACAGGCUGCCUCCAGACACGGCGCUACUCUCUCUGGGGAUUUCAUUUCCACCUCACAGAGAUCGUCAUCCUAAGACAGAAAACCAGUGCUCAGGGAGCUCCUAAUUAGCAAUGUGACUUUUCUCUAGAUUUCUCAUUCACUUGAUGUCUUCCCUUUUUUUCUCACCCUGAUGUCAGUGAUGUCAUUUCAGGUGCGAGCUCACUAGAUGGUGUUUCACCUGUCUGUGGUUAGUGUAA